AUACGGAGGAUGCAAGCGUUAUCCGGAUUUAUUGGGUUUAAAGGGUGCGUAGGCUGUUCGGAAAGUCAGGGGUGAAAGCCCGGCGCCUAACGCCGGAACUGCCUUUGAUACUUCCGAGCUGGAAUACGGAUGCCGUGGGAGGAAUGAGUAGUGUAGCGGUGAAACGCAUAGAUAUUACUCAGAACACCGAUUGCGAAGGCAACUCACGAAUCCGUCAUUGACGCUGAGGCACGAAAGCGUGGGGAACAAACAUGAUUAGAUACCCUGGUAGUCCACGCAGUAAACGAUGAUGACUGACCGGCGGCGAUACACAGUCGGUGGCGAAGCGAAAGCGAUAAGUCAUCCGCCUGGGGAGUACGUUCGCAAGAAUGAAACUCAAAUGAAUUGGCGGGG
rnacentral:rRNA from 1 species